rnacentral:sRNA from 1 species
CAACCCCUGUUUUUGGUCCCA